rnacentral:rRNA from 1 species
UAAGGAAUAUUGCUCAAUGGGAGAAAUCCUGAAGCAGCAACGCCGCGUGGAGGAUGAAGGGUCUAUGACUUGUAAACUCCUGUAAAGAAGGAAAAAAUUCCCAUUAGAUGGGAGAUGAUGGUACUUCUGGAGUAAGCCCCGGCUAACUACGUGCCAGCAGCCGCGGUAAUACGUAGGGGGCAAGCGUUGUCCGGAUUUACUGGGUGUAAAGGGUGCUCAGGCGGAUUUGUAAGUCAGAGGUGAAAUCUUACAGCUUAACUGUGAAACUGCCUUUGAUACUGCAAGCCUAGAGUAUGGAAGAGAGUGAUGGAAUAUCUGGUGUAGCAGUGAAAUGCGUAGAUAUCAGAUAGAACACCAAUGGCGGAGGCAGUCACUUGGUCCAUUACUGACGCUAAAGCACGAAAGCGUGGGUAGCAAACA